UAUCUGUUUGUAUUUAUUGGUGUGCUCUGUUACUCAAAUGGAACCAUGCUAUGCAGGUAUGUACAUAGUUACCAAAGUUACCUAUGGAACCAUGCUGCAAGUAUGAGAGUUGAAAAGUAUGGUAAGUACACUCGUGCAUGGGAUUCUGCUGCACUACUUCAGGCUGUUGUUCUAAGACUAAGCUAUGACUUUCCGGAGACUAGUAUAUACCUCUUGUUUUGUCUUUAUAUGCUAAUGGCUGAACUCACAGGUAUUUCGCAAGUUGUAGAAGGUGACUUGGUUUACAAAAAGGGGUGCCCUCUUGGAGAAGCAACUGAAACAGAUACUUUAGAUGAUGAUAGCCAUACUAAUUCACCUGAAACUGAAAUAUCUUGUAAUACACUUCCUGAAGAAGUGAUCCAGUCUGUGAAGGUUUUUCAUAGACAAUCAAUAUAAAGCAUACUUAUACAAACGGUGAGCUUGUGCAUAAUACUACUUUAACGGAAGUCCGAAUCAUGCACUUCUCUUGUAGAUAGCUGAUUCUCAAGAUCUAUUGAAGGCAGUCUACACGUUUGAGGAUGUUGUCCUCCCUUUGCCUGGUUCAGAAACAUUACUUCCUGAGAAUGAAGUUGCAGGGAUUUACCAUUAAAUAGCCAAAAAGGAUGGCAUCAGCCUGAUAGAGAGCGUCCACGGGGUCAAGUAAGUUAACUCUGUCCUAAAAUAUAUGUGUUGCUAGCUGACUCCUCUUUUAAACCUAUGUAUGGUGCCUAUGACCAUACAGUGACCUCAGAAAGUGGGAAUUGGGAUUACAUCCGAAGGAAAACGGGGGCUUAAAUAUUAUAUUUAUCCAUGCAAAUUCCAUAUGUGGUACCUUGCUUAUUG